CUACAGCCUACUGCUCCUGGGCUACAAACCUGUCUGUCCAUCGUACUGAAUACUGCAGACACUUGUAACACAAAGCCAAUGGUCACCUCGAGGAGAGUAGUUCAAGUGGAGCAAUACAGAAAAUCCAGACUGCAGGAUACUGGAAGGUGAAGACUCUGAGGCAGCUGCUUUUAUGGCAUAUUUACUUCUCCACUAAGAGGACUGAAAAAGAAGGCUGAAUUCAAUCUGAUUUAUCCUUUCACUUGGGUGAAUGAAUGAGGUGGAGAUGGAAUAAAAUUAUUGUGCAGGACUCUUACUUAUAUUACUAGCUGUCCACCAUGAAGUGGGACCAUCAUAAUACUCACAAGAUGACACUAUGCUUGUUGAAGCCCAGCUGGGCAGAAGUGAGGAUUGCCCAACAUUAGCAGGGGCUCACCUUAAGCAUACGAUGUGGCAACUUGGGAGAUAAGAAUAUCACUUUAUAUAUCCUGGACAAGUCUUGUGCCUGAAACAAAGCUUGAACAUUACCAGGCAGAUUCCAGCUAACCCACUCUGGUCCUGGCAUGGUGACCACUCAAUGUAUUUUUUUAAAUGAACAGUAAUCUGCUGGUUCUUUUCCCAGGCACCAAUGGAAUGUUUUAACCUUAUCAUCUAUCUGUAAAUUACUUGUGUACACAAUCAAAAGUUGUGUUUUGGAGAUGGUACAGCUGAUGCUGACAGCUGAGGGUCAGAAAUCUGGGCUGUGUUCUGUCUAAAGAUCAGAACUGUUUCUCAGUAGACCUACAACCUGCUCAGCAGGGUCUAUUAUGGAAGGUGUAGUUAUUUCACUUCACUCAACUUAGAUGAGAGCCCUUGAUGACUUGUGCAUUAGAAUACUCAAAGAAAAUCUUAAUCACACAGGGCAACUCAGCAUAUAUAAUAAGAACAUUUCAAAUUGCACAUACCUAACAUUUUCAUGAAUCAAAGAAGUCAACAGCUAAGUUCCCACCACAGAGUUUUGUCCAGCAAAGGAUACUGCAGGCCUGAGGCCACGGCACUGGUGCGAUAACCUCCUAGGCGCUGCCCACUCUCAGAGCAGUGCCAGGCAAACUGUUUGUCUUGUCCAGUACUCAGCACCCACUCCAGCUCCAGGACAAAGAGGAUCAUCGUCACUCUGCUUUGAUGCGCUGAAAACCAAGAGACAAAAGGACAACCUAUAAAAGUUAGAAGAAACUAUGCCCUCCAGCUGAUCUGAUCUUGCUAUUUUUGUAUGGGCAAAGGAAGGCACAAUGAGGCCUGUGUUGCUAGUUAACUGAUGAGUAAGAAACACCCAACUAAAUUGGAUCAGCUUAAUUCUGGGUGUGGACAACACACCCUAGAGAGGACUGUCUUCGGAAUGGUAUAUAAAAGGGAAAUGAAAAGAAAAGAAGGAAGCCUUGUUCUGUUUCUUUGGAGGAGCUCCAAUCUUCACCUUCACUUUGGACAUCUUUUCCUGGCUUCCAGUGCAGACCCUUCAGCCUUCCACUGCAGACUGGCCUCAGACAGAGACUUGCACAGGACACUAAAGUAGGCUCCAGGCUUUCAACUGGAUCCUUCCAACUUCCAGCAUGUAGAAAGAUCUUUUGGACUCUUCCACAUCUGACUCUGUGGG